rnacentral:lncRNA from 1 species
CUGAAUGGAAUAGGAGUCAUUCCCUCAACAGAGGAAAUGCAGCUCCCACCCAGAGUGGAGGGGAUGAGAUUUGCCCGUGGACAUGUCUACAAUGAUAAUGGUUCCAGGAGCUCUGCUGAGCCCUUGUGUGCCUCAUUGAAUCCCAUGAGAUCAACACAUUAUCACCCCCAUUUUACAGAUGAAGAUGUCAAGGCUUAAAGAGCUAAAGCACAAGAGACUCAUAUAUAGGCUGUACCUUCUGCCCAUGGCUGUGGGGAACCAGGACUGCAGAGGAAGCAUGUGAGUGAAGCCACCGGAAGCAAGCAAAUGGAACAAAACCAGCACCACGACCACCACCACCACCACCACCACCAUCACCACCAUCACCACAAUACAAAUACUCUCUUUGAUUGGUCCUCUGGGUAGAUAAAAU